GAUGAACGCUAGCGGGAGGCUUAACACAUGCAAGUCGAGGGGCAGCAUAGAGUAGCAAUACUUUGAUGGCGACCGGCGCACGGGUGAGUAACGCGUAUGUAACCUACCUUGUACAGGGGGAUAGCCCGGAGAAAUUCGGAUUAAUACCCCAUAAUGAUAUUUGAAGGCAUCUUUAGAUAUUUAAAGUUUCGACGGUACGAGAUGGGCAUGCGUGACAUUAGCUAGUUGGUAAGGUAACGGCUUACCAAGGCUAAGAUGGGUAGGGGUCCUGGGAGGGUGCUCACCCACACUGGUACUGAGACACGGACCAGACUCCUACGGGAGGCAGCAGUGAGGAAUAUUGGUCAAUGGGCGUAAGCCUGAACCAGCCAUCCCGCGUGAAGGAAGAAGGCGCUAUGCGUCGUAAACUUCUUUUCCGGAGGAAUAAAAUUUCGUACGUGUACGGGACUGAAGGUACUCCGGGAAUAAGCAUCGGCUAACUCCGUGCCAGCCGCCGCUGUAAUAC
rnacentral:rRNA from 1 species